rnacentral:rRNA from 1 species
GAAGAGCUCAAAUUUAAAAUCUGGCGGCCUUCUGGACGUCCGAGUUGUAGUCUGGAGAAGUGUUAUCCGCGUCGGACCGUGUACAAGUCUCCUGGAACGGAGCGUCAUAGAGGGUGAGAAUCCCGUCCAUGACACGGACGCCCGAUGCUAUGUGAGGCACUCUCAAAGAGUCGAGUUGUUUGGGAAUGCAGCUCAAAAUGGGUGGUAAAUUCCAUCUAAAGCUAAAUAUUGGCGAGAGACCGAUAGCGAACAAGUACCGUGAGGGAAAGAUGAAAAGCACUUUGGAAAGAGAGUUAAACAGUACGUGAAAUUGUUGAAAGGGAAACGCUUGAAGUCAGUCGCGUCCCGCGGAACUCAGCCUGGUUUCGACCUGGUGUACUUUCCAUGUGGACGGGUCAACAUCAAUUUCGGCCGGUGGACAAGGGCGAGGGGAAUGUAGCGUUGCUUCGGCGACGUGUUAUAGCCCCCCGUCGUAUACACUGGUUGGGAUUGAGGACCGCAGCACGCCCUUGUGGCCGGGGGUUCGCCCCACGUAACGUGCUUAGGAUGUUGGCAUAAUGGCUUUAAGCGACCCGUCUUGAAACACGGACCAAGGAGUCUAACAUGCUUGCGAGUGUUUGGGUGGAAAACUCUUGCGCGUAAUGAAAGUGAAAGUUGGGAACCUCCGCGCGGGGGUGCACCGACGCCCGGCCCUGACGUUCUCUGACGGUGCCGCGGUAGAGCACGUAUGUUGGGACCCGAAAGAUGGUGAACUAUGCCUGAAUAGGGCGAAGCCAGAGGAAACUCUGGUGGAGGCUCGUAGCGAUUCUGACGUGCAAAUCGAUCGUCAAAUUUGGGUAUAGGGGCGAAAGACUAAUCGA